CACAGCAUUUUACUCUGAUUUAUGCAUCCUCCUAGCUUGCCUUGGGAACAGCAGUUCUCUGCCAGGCAGAAUUUGGAGGCUUUGUUUUCACACCACAUACACAGCUAUAAAUCAGAAAUAGCACAACUGACGUCAGCGGUGCCUCAGCAGCAAAAAUCCCAUGUCAGGAAAAUUAUAAUUGUGCCUUGGUCUUCCUCCAUAUCCGCUGGGCUUGGAACUGCCUUGCUUGCCCUUGAGGCAAGGAGACCUGUAGUACUGAAGUCUUCCUGUUGCUGUACCCAUAACUGAGGAGUUCAAGCGCUGCUAUGAAAUCCUAGGCUGGUUGUCAGGACCAAGAGCAGGUUUCCCCGAAGUGGAUUACUUCCAGGCAGCACCACAGCGUGUCAAGAGCACUGGUGGUACUGGCAGUUUCAGCAAGGUCUCCAGCCCUGGGACCUCCCACCUCCAGGGACAUCAUCAGGUCACAACCACCAAGAGCCAGGAGAUUGUGGGGUUACCCUGCGCAAGCCCACUAUUGCAGCGGCCUCUGGGCAGCCAGGAUGGCCCAGUCGAUGGGACUGUGACAGCAGCAGAGAAUGCUCAGGGGACUGGGCACAAGGAGCAGCAGUGGUCAUCCAGGGCGUCCCCCGGGCUGUGGGAUAACAUCUGCCCAGAGGAUGACUAUGGGCUGGUGGCCAACAAGAGGAGGUCCUACUCCUUCACCUCAGCCACCUACCAGAAGAUCACCCCGCUGGCAGUGCCCAAGGAGCCGGUGGAGGCCGGGAGCAGUUACUCCGUCACACUGUACAUAGGGGAGCAGGUGUCAGCCAUGCCCCGGGCACGCUGUCACUCCUUCGUGGCCCAAACAGGGAGCCCUCGGGACACACGAGGGGAGAAGACCACUAGCCCCCCUCGCACCAAGAACAAAUCUGUCUUCAAGAAGUUCUUUGGGAAAAAAGAGUGAGCCCCAGACAAAUGGAGAAAAUGCCCUAACCUGCCUCUUAUCCUCCUCUUGGGCCAUUCUGGCUUGAUCUCUACUCCCAGCACCAGUUCAUGGCUUACUGCCUCCCCAGGGGCAAGAGGCUGUGCCAAGUGGCUCUGCUUCAGCCAGCCCCAGGUCUGCCCUGUGCCCCAGGCACUGCAGCCCCCAGCCUCAGCCUGGUGCUGAGCACCCCUCCUGCCCAGUGCUCUCCCUGGGUGCUGCUGGCUCCCCAGGCAUCCUAAUGACACACAGCACAAGCAGAAGGUGUGGAUGAUGGUUUUUAUUAAAAGAUAAAUAGACAGUGUGGGAGCUUUUUUGUCCAGCAGCAUCCAUCAGCACAGAAGGAAAGGAGCUCUCUGCAAGGUGGUCCUUGCUAAGGAGUAAGGGGAGCUUCAGAUGAGGAGGGCCCUGCAGUGAGGUUCAGUCCUGCUUGUGGGGGGAAGCUCAAGCUGUUUGGUGCCUUUCAAGGAUGCUUCACAAGGAUGCUUUGUCCCAUGCUUCCUCUCUGCCUGCACUCAGCCCAGCUAAUCCCACAGGCUAUCUGGGCCCCUUUUCCCUGCCCUGGGAGCUUAGCAAGGAAGUCACUACCUACAGAGUAAAUACUCCUGCCUGUACAGCCCUGCCAAGCCUGCCCAGCCUCGUUCUCUCCCAGGAUGGCUGCCAGCCUAGGUCACAGCAGGUGAAUGCGGCCUGACACAGAUGGGGGUAGUGGUGUGUGGAUAGACCCCCCCCCAUUCCUACAGCCCAGAUAUUUUUGCAGUAACUUCACCAGACCAUGCCAGUUUCAACUGCCCCAAUUGCCACUUGUACUGGGAAGGGGGAAAAAGCAGCUGAUCCAACCUGUCCAGAGUCUGUACCAGCCCUAGAGGAAGAAGGGGAAGUUUCCAGGGACUUAGGUAGCAGGGCCUCUCCCUGUCAAGCCGUGAGGCUCAACUGUGCACACCACUUGCCUCCUCAAACACAUUGUGGGGCUUAAAAUAGA
ensembl:lncRNA